CUCCAAAGACAGCAGGUGGCGAAAGCCGUAAAUCCUGCCGAGGACAUCAACAAUUUCACUCCUUUUGAUUUUGUUUUUGUGCCCUUGCGUCUUACUGCCGCAAGGGUUUUUCUUUA
rnacentral:sRNA from 1 species